rnacentral:rRNA from 3 species
UACGUAGGGGGCGAGCGUUGUCCGAAGUUACUGGGCGUAAAGCGCGCGUAGGCGGUCCUUUAAGUCUGGGGUGAAAGGUUCAGCGCUCAACGCGAACAGUGCCUUGGAUACUGGGGGACUUGAGUCUGGGAGAGGGCAGUGGAAUUCCUGGUGUAGCGGUGAAAUGCGUAGAUAUCAGGAGGAACACCGGUGGCGAAGGCGGCUGCCUGGCCUAAGACUGACGCUGAGGUGCGAAAGCGUGGGGAGCGAACGGG